GUGGCAAGAUUCCCAAGACAAAAUCCCAAGCGGCGCAUAGUUAGUGACGCGUUUCCCAUCACCCAGCAGUGGGUGGUCUGCCAGAGAGGGCAGCUAAUGCACCAGA